rnacentral:lncRNA from 1 species
CUCGUACUCCGCAUCGUCCAUAAUAACCCAACAUGCUCUGGCAAGGGGUUUUGAUUUACGUUUGGCCCUUGUGGCUCCCUUUUUCUGAUCACGAUUUCUCCAGACUCAACCAUAUCCUGAACUUUAUGCUUAAGCGCCUUGCAAUCCAAAGUUGCAUGCCUAGGUGCCCCCGAAUGAUACGCGCAAACAGCUUGCGGGUUAUACCAAACGGGCAUGCCAUACGGGUAGGUAGGAGGUGGUACUGUACCAAUUUUUCCAGAGGCCCUUAACUGGUCAUAUAAUUGGUCUAAAGGCCUGCCUAAAUUGGUAAAAGUACGGCUAGGGGGUCUGUUGUAGGGUUCAGUGGGUUGAGGAUAGUUGUAAGCAGGUCUAUUUGGAGGAGGAAAUCUUGGGUUAAAUGGAGGUCGAGGUCGGUUUUGGGGUGGAUUUGGUUGAGAAAUUUGAAAAGGGGCUGAAGGUGGGUUAGUAUAGUUUGGGCGAGGUCGAGG